CAACUAGAAUAAUGAUAAUUGCAUGACAAAAUGAUGGUGUCAAGUGUCAAAUUGGAUGGAAAAAGUGGUUGAUUAUCAUUUUUGUUUUUUGUUUCGUUCAAAUCACAUUGAUUGAGUGUUGAUGGUAUUUCCCAUUUUCACCAAAAAAUGUGUAAUACAGCACAAAAUUCCAGAGAGAUUAUAAAUGAUUAACAGUGGACCCAUUAACGGACAGUUGAAGGAUUUAAAAAGAGAGAAGUAAAGAUAAAUAGAGAAAAUUACUUAACUCUUCAAAGUAUCAACUGACUUUUCUGUUUGUCAUUUUAUCGUUUUAUUGUUGUCUCAUUUUUUUACAGAAAGCUAAAGACUUGAAACUUGGAACUCAUCUGUAGUUGGAGUUGAUAAUUGAAUUCAAUGGUAUAUAAAAGGUGAAAUAAGAAAAGCCAAAAUGGAAAAGUCUGGUUGGUUCAGCUUCAACACACUUAUUAUUAAUACAUUUAACGAAACUUGAAGGGUCUAUCAAGUUAAUUGUAUUUGUGAUUAUAAUUGUCGGCAUAUACAAUGAUAGUUCCACUUUUGUUUCAUUUUUUAUUCAAGCAAAAUGUUUUCUUCCUUCUAGUUGAAGGUUCUAAAAACUUCAGCUAAACAUAGUGCUACUGAUUGGGUUGGAAAUAAUUUAUUUUAACUGUUUCCCUGCAACUUUUUGUUUUAUUAUUAAUCGUUUUUUCUUCUUCUUGCUUUUAUCUAGGCUCUAAGGUUAACCAAACCUUGAAUUAUUUUAUUAGUAAUCUAAUGUUUACGUUAUUAAUUGCUUAAACCAUUUAUACAGUUCUGAAUACAAUGGUAAACUUAUAUGUUUAGGUUAAACAUUCAGUUUAUUGUUGGGUGACUGAGUAAAUACCUUUGCCUACUGCUUAUCGAUCAAUGCAUGAAUUCAUUAACAAACCCAAAGAAUCAAGUUUUCCCUUUCAUUUGUGCCAAGUGUAUCUGUAUUUUAAUAUUUACAGACAAAAAAUGGUCCUUUUAAAUAUUCUUUUAUGCUCAACCAAGCGAUAAAUAAUCAACCAACAAACCAAGUUAACAGCUUCUGUAACAAAAGUCAACAUGAAACUUGGAUGGACGAAAAGAAAGGGAAAAAUUAGGCGAAUAUGAGUUACUUGAUCAUCAGCUUCAAUGGAUAACAUUGCCCAUUGUCAACAAAUUGUCAUUUAUUAUUCUAAUCGCUGGUCAAAGGAAAGAAGAUUUGUUAUCUGUUUUUGACCAGAUUAAUGAGACAAAUUAUCCUGAAAAUGAUGUUGCAAAAAAGAUCACCUUCAACUCGAGUGUCUACAUACUUGAUCCCUUUGAUCUAUGACCUAUUGUUGAAACCUGACUGGAAAUCAUCUUUUCUUCCAACAAUAAUUCAUAUCAAUAUUUCUGAAGAGCCCCUGAGUGACGAUAAAAUGACGACACAA